GUUUCUCUCUGACCACCGGUGCACGCAGCCCUUGUCAUGUACCCCUUGCUUGCUCCAAUCAAUCACAACCCUUACAUGUGAAAUCUUUAGUAUUGUGAGCCUUUAAAAGGGACAGAAAUUGUGCACUCGGGGAGCUCGGAUUUUAAGGCAGUGGCUUGCCCACGCUCCCAGCUGAAUAAAGCCCUUCUUUCUACAACUCAGUGUCUGAAAGGUUUUGUCUGCAGCUCGUCCUGCUACAUUUCUUGGUUCCCUGACCAGGAAACGAGGUAACUGAUAGACAUAGACGGCAGAGCUAACCCGUUAGGCGGCUUAGGCCUGUCCUGUGGAGCGUCCCUGCAGGGGACUCCAGUCAGCCUGAGUGACGCGAUCCAAAGAACGCUCCCGGGUAGGAAAUUGCCCCGGUGGAAUGCCUUGCCAGAGCAGCGCAUAGCAGGCCCCUGCAGAGGAUUAACACGGUGGCUGAACACCGGAAAGAACUGGCACUUGGAGUCGCGACAUCUGAAACUUGGAGAUCAUGAUUAGCAGCCUUAAAGAAGAGUCUGUGAUUAAUUAGACCUGAACCUCUCCUCACAGGAAACGACUAUAUGGAGGAAGCAGCAGAGAAGGGCAAAUUUUAAAAAGUGGAAGAAAACUGGUAUGCAUAUUUUCAACCAAGUGAAAACGUCAAGGAGGUUAAAGUAAUCAACUGGGUCAAAUGCUGCUGAGAGGUCAAAUAAGCAUAUCGAGAGUCAAGAUUGGCCUGAGUCAUUCUAUUUUUGAAGGUACUCUGAAACAAAUUUUAAUACAGAGUGAAUUUUUGAGGAUUCCAACAGCAGGGGAAAAACAGUGAAGUACAUAAG
rnacentral:lncRNA from 10 species